GUAUCAGAAGCAUAAGAAAUGUUCGGAAUACGGCGUACGUUGAGUAUAUAAAAAAUUUUCUCUUGUUUAUAAGUGCGUCUGCGCAUGCGCGAAAAAUGGAUAAAUAGCGUGAAAUAUUGCUUCCUGUGCUCAUUCUGCUGUGACCUCUAGAGGCGGCCACAUGGUAUCAGAAGUAAACUAGAGAUUCAGAAUACUGUGCAAGUUGAGUUUAUAAAAGAAUUUUCUCUUGUUUAUAAGUGCGUCUGCGCAUGCGCGAAAAAUGGAUAAAUAGCGUGAAAUAUUGCUUCCUGUGCUCAUUCUGCUGUGACCUCUAGAGGCGGCCACAUGGUAUCAGAAGUAAACUAGAGAUUCAGAAUACUGUGCAAGUUGAGUUUAUAAAAGAAUUUUCUCUGGUUUAUAAGUGUCGUCCCCUCAUGCGCAAAAAAUGGAUAAAUAGCGUCAAAUAUUGCCUCCUGUUCUCCUUCUGCUGUGACCUCUAGAGGCGGCCACAUCGUAUCAGAAGCAUAAUAAAUGUUCAGAAUACUGUGCAAGUUGAGUUUAUAAAAAAAUUUUCUCUGGUUUCUAAGUGUCGUCUGCGCAUGCAAGAAGAAAAUGUAUGAAGAGUAUGUAAUAUUGGUUCCUGCGCUCAUUCUGAAUUGACCUCUGGAAGCGGACAAAUCUGUAAACCCAAUUAUUUUAAAUAUUAAAUUUAUCUGGAAUAUCCUUUUA